rnacentral:rRNA from 1 species
CCUGUCAGAUUAACGCUAGGGGGAUGCUUUACACAUGCAAGUCGAACGGCAGCGCGAGAGAGCUUGCUCUCUUGGCGGCGAGUGGCGGACGGGUGGUAAUAUAUCGGAACGUGCCCAGUAGCGGGGGAUAACUACUCGAAAGAGUGGCUAAUACCGCAUACGCCCUACGGGGGAAAGGGGGGGAUCGCAAGACCUCUCACUAUUGGAGCGGCCGAUAUCGGAUUAGCUAGUUGGUGGGGUAAAGGCUCACCAAGGCAACGAUCCGUAGCUGGUUUGAGAGGACGACCAGCCACACUGGGACUGAGACACGGCCCAGACUCCUACGGGGGCAGCAGUGGGGAAUUUUGGACAAUGGGGGAAACCCUGAUCCAGCCAUCCCGCGUGUAUGAUGAAGGCCUUCGGGUUGUAAAGUACUUUUGGCAGAGAAGAAAAGGUACCUCCUAAUACGAGGUACUGCUGACGGUAUCUGCAGAAUAAGCACCGGCUAACUACGGCCAGCAGCCGCGGUAAUACGUAGGGUGCAAGCGUUAAUCGGAAUUACUGGGCGUAAAGCGUGUGUAGGCGGUUCGGAAAGAAAGAUAAAAAUUUUCAGGGCUCAACCUUGGAACUGCAUUUUUAAGGUGCCGAGCUAGAGUAUGUCAGAGGGGGGUAGAAUUCCACGUGUAGCAGUGAAAUGCGUAGAUAUGUGGAGGAAUACCGAUGGCGAAGGCAGCCCCCUGGGAUAAUACUGACGCUCAGACACGAAAGCGUGGGGAGCAAACAGGAUUAGAUACCCUGGUAGUCCACGCCCUAAACGAUGUCAACUAGCUGUUGGGGCCGUUAGGCCUUAGUAGCGCAGCUAACGCGUGAAGUUGACCGCCUGGCCCCAACGGUCGCAAGAUUAAAACUCAAAGGAAUUGACGGGGACGCACAAGCGGUGGAUGAUGUGGAUUAAUUCGAUGCAACGCGAAAAACCUUACCUACCCUUGACAUGUCUGGAAAGCCGAAGAGAUUUGGCCGUGCUCGCAAGAGAACGGGAACACAGGUGCUGCAUGGCUGUCGUCAGCUCGUGUCGUGAGAUGUUGGGUUAAGUCCCGCAACGAGCGCAACCCUUGUCAUUGUUGCUACGCAAGAGACUCUAAUGAGACUGCCGGUGACAAACCGGAGGAAGGUGGGGAUGACGUCUUUCCCUCAUGGCCCUUAUGGGUAGGGCUUCACACGUCAUACAAUGGUCGGGACAGAGGGUCGCCAACCCGCGAGGGGGAGCCAAUCUCAGAAACCCGAUCGUAGUCCGGAUCGCAGUCUGCAACUCGACUGCGUGAAGUCGGAAUCGCUAGUAAUCGCGGAUCAGAAUGUCGCGGUGAAUACGUUCCCGGGUCUUGUACACACCGCCCGUCACACCAUGGGAGUGGGUUUCACCAGAAGUAGGUAGCCUAACCGUAAGGAGGG